rnacentral:rRNA from 1 species
GAUCAUGGCUCAGGAUGAACGCUAGCGGCAGGCUUAACACAUGCAAGUCGAGGGGCAGCACGUCUUCGGAUGGUGGCGACCGGCGCACGGGUGCGUAACGCGUAUAGAACCUACCUUUUACAGGGGAAUAGCCCAGAGAAGUUUGGAUUAAUGCCCCAUAGUAUUAUUGAAUGGCAUCAUUUAAUAAUUAAACAUUUAUGGGUAAAAGAUGGCUAUGCGUUCUAUUAGCUAGUAGGUAAGGUAACGGCUUACCUAGGCAACGAUAGAUAGGGGUCCUGAGAGGGAGAUCCCCCACACUGGUACUGAGACACGGACCAGACUCCUACGGGAGGCAGCAGUGAGGAAUAUUGGACAAUGGGCGAGAGCCUGAUCCAGCCAUGCCGCGUGCAGGAAGACGGUCCUAUGGAUUGUAAACUGCUUUUAUACAGGAAGAAACACUCGGACGUGUCCGAGCUUGACGGUACUGUAUGAAUAAGCACCGGCUAACUCCGUG